rnacentral:piRNA from 1 species
UAAAGCUAUGAUUGAUGCCCAAGAC